GUGUGUGUUCAGGUAUCCUGGUUGGAGCAGGAAAACAGAAGAUAGCUGCGCUGUCUAACCUGGUCUCAUACUAUUGCAUUGGCCUUCCGGUCGGCAUCGCUUUGAUGUUCGCUGCUAAGCUCAGGAUACUAGGUUUGUGGGUAGGUCUCUUCAUCUGUGUCAUCCUCCAAACUGGGUUCUUCAUCGUCAUCAUCUUCAAACUCAACUGGCAGCUUGUCGCCAAGGAGGCCCAGGUGCGUGCUGGGAAGAGUGGGUUGGUAACGUGUGUUCCAGCGAAGCCUCCUAUUGGACAGCGGCUGAUUAAAAAUCUGCUUCCAGAAGGUUCUCGAAGCACUGACA